AUCAGAGUCCUGAAAACCAAAAUACAAUAAUAAGAACGGACUCUUAGUAAUUAUAAAAAAUACUAAACACAUGACAAUUGACAAUCUCAGGGAGAACAAACAUUUCAAGAACACAUAAAUGGCUAUCGAGUCUGAAUCCAAUUGUCAUCUGCUGCAUGUGUUCAUUUUCUGAAAAUCAAAUAUAGUAUCACGCCACUAUUUGAUUGACAUAUUGAAAAGUAAAGUUUUAUUGGUUAGCAUUUAACCUUUGACAUGUGUCAUAGCCCAUUAAUGUUACAAAUCAUAUAUAGAUAUGCCUUACUCAUUAACAUAUUUUAUCCACUCCAAGAUGAGCUUUUCGAGAAUUAAAUACGUUAAUUCGCAAAAGACGUGAUUUAUAUAUAACUUAUUUUCAGUUCACGAAGGAGGAGAUCAACUAUGCCAAAAUGGGGAUGAUUUUGCUGAAUAUUUUAAUUGAUGUUUUAUAUGAUCUUUUGAAACAAGAUAAAACAAUCCAUCGUCUUAGGAGUGAUUGUGAUAUAACAUAUUUGUACAAAGAGCACAGAAGAAUUAAUAAACAUGAACCAAGUAUUGGAUGGGGAGGCACAUGGCAAGAUAUUCAGUCUUCAAACAUAGCUGUUGGAGAUGAUAUUGAGCGCAUAAGAAAUACAAGAAAUGAACUGCAACAUUGCAAGACAUUUAUGCUCGAUGAUAAACGCUUUAACGACUUAUAUGACAUAAUAGUUGAAUUACUAAAACGGGUUGAUUAUCAUAACAAACCAACCAGGCUGUAUACAGAGCAGUUUAACGAAAUCGUUGCCAAAAAUAUUUCUGCAGAGGAAGUUAAAGCUGUUGAAAACAAAAUCACGGAAAUGAUUAUUGAAAUUGAUAUUGAACACACCUAGUGAAUGUCACACCACAAUAGAGAAGGGAACUGUAACAUGAUGGACAGUUAUUAUAUUACGACCAUAAUGUCAACGUACCAGAAUUGCAGAAUGCAAAUCGUAAACCUAUAGAUGACCAUUUUCAUAUACACGACUUAUGCUUCCUUCCUUCAAACCCGAACUACCAUCAGCAAGUAGCUCAUGUAUUCUACAUUUCAUUAGCCAAUGCCGAUAAAUGAAUAGAGAAACGAGAAGGUGAAUUGCAAAAUGUAUAUUUAUUUAGAGUAAAAAAUGUGUCUCAUAUAUAUGUCUGUGUAUAUUAUAAAAAUAAACAAAUAAACAAUAUACAUUUGUACAACAAGAUAAUAAUUAAUGAAAAACAUGAAACGACAUUACAUUAAGAACACAAUUGAUUGGCCUGGGAAGGGGUCAACUAAGCCACCAGGAAAGAUGUAAUUAAAUAAAAAAGGCCAAGUACUAGGCAACAAAUAGAAAAGAUGAGUCUAAUGCAUACCCGUAUGGAAAACCACAGUCAUCACUGUUGUUUAAAAGAGAUUUAUGCUAAAACCAAUUGUACAAUUUGAUAUAUUAGCUAUCUUAGUUGACGCUGAAUCUAUGUCUAAACUAACAAUGAAAAUACUGAAUGUGACAAAUAAUAUUUGAGCAGUUCUAAGAAGUGAUACAAUACCAGCCGAAAAUAGUACUGCAAAAUACAUAUUACAGCUAUGUCCUUGUUAACAAUUUUUACAGCAACUUUAUUACAAUAUUAACCUUCAAUAAAAAGAUGCGUUUAUAAUAAUAAAACAAACAAAUAGCUAAAAUACUGAAUGUGUUGAAUAAUAUUUAAAAAGUUAUAAGUAAUGAUACAAUACCAGCUCUAGCAAGUACUGCAAAAUAAACAUAAAGACAAUGUCCUUGUCAACAAUUUGUACAGCAGCUAUGUAAUAAUAUCAACCUUCAUAAAUAAGCUGUUUUCUAAUAAAUAAAACAAACAAUGAAAAUACUGAGUGUGACGAAUAUUAUUUGAUAACUUUUAAGUAGUGAUACAAUACCAGUCCUAGCAAGUACUGCAAAAUAAACAUAAAAGACAAUGUCCCUGUCAACAAUUUAACUCCAACUAUAUCACAAUAUUAAUCUAAGCUGCUUUCAGAUAAAUAAAACGAACACACAGUUAUAACAUGAUAUAUACACUUACUAUGUAAUGUUGCUGCAAAAUCACAUGAGGAUACCUGUGGUUAACACACGGUUUAAUAAUAGAGUUUUAUUUGAACAUGUUUCAAAAGUGAAUAGAAUGGAAAUAAUGAAUUAACAUUUAAAUAGUCUACCAAUAUGUGUAUACAUUAAAUCAAAGUUGAACUGGAUUUGGUAUACUGAUUCAAAGUUGAAUGAAACAUUUUUUAUAUUUUAAAUGAAAAUUUAAAUAUUGAAUUAAUGGUUGAAUAUUCAACGGCGGAUAUAUAUAUCCAAAUGACACUGAUAAGUAUAGCGCUGAACUACUUCCAUCCUAUCUUUCAAA